CCUACGGGAGGCAGCAGUGAGGAAUAUUGGUCAAUGGGCGCGAGCCUGAACCAGCCAAGUCGCGUGAGGGAAGACGGUCCUAUGGAUUGUAAACCUCUUUUGUCGGGGAGCAAAAGACGCCACGCGUGGCGUUCCGAGAGUACCCGAAGAAAAAGCAUCGGCUAACUCCGUGCCAUCAGCCGCCGUAAUACGGAGGAUGCGAGCGUUAUCCGGAUUUAUUGGGGUGAAGGGGUACGCAGGCGGAAGGUCACGUCAGAGGUAAAAUUGAGAGGCUCAACCGCUGGGAGCCGUUGAAACUGGUGUUCUUGAGUGAGUGAGAAGUAUGCGGAAUGCGGGGUGUAGCGGUGAAAUGCAUAGAUAUCACGCAGAACUCCGAUUGCGAAGGCAGCAUACCGGCGCUCAACUGACGCUCAUGCACGAAAGUGUGGGUAUCGAACAGGAUUAGAUACCCUUGUAGUC
rnacentral:rRNA from 1 species